GAGAAAUAAAUCUUUCAAGUAUUGAAGAAUUUAACCAGUAUUUCAAAGAGAACCCCCCAGUAUUUCCCUAUUCUAAAUCCACCGCCGCAUUCGAAAUUGGGCUAACAGGUUGAACAUGUUCGCAACAGUCGCAAUGCACUUCACUAUAUAAUUAAGUUAGUCACAUUUUAUAUCGAAUAGCUGUUGCGAGAAUGCUGACGUUUAGUUAUUUCUGAGAUUUCUACGACAUCGCACGAUGAUAAGGUGGAACGCUAUAUUUCUUAUUUUGAUUAUCAAUUUGGUGUGUGGAAUGUGUCGUUCUCUAUCUGCUGAUAUGAAAAUCGAAUCAUCGGAGAACCAAACGGUCGCUAACGAUGAGAUUGUGCCAGAAGGUGACGAUGAUCCUUCGCUCACUGGACUCAUCGACUUGGUUUUUUACAGAGGCUCGUUCUCUAUUUGAUGAUAUGAAGACGGAAUCACCAAAUAGUCAAGAUAUGGAUCACGUUGUUGAACUUGGCGUCAACGCAUCGUCAGAAGAUAAAACCGUUGCGACUCGAACAUUUUUUGAAGGUCCAACGCCUUCAACUUCCACGAAUGAAACUACAACCGAACCAUCUGAUUUUAGGUUGGCAGGUUCGUGUCUUAAAGCCUGCGCUGGUUAAACUUUGCAAACUAAUAAUAAUAAUGUGAGCUUAAUAACAAAUGUGAAAUCCACUCAGUAGCACCAUAAAAUCAUUUUAAAUUAGUAGUUUACCAAAUAAUACAAAUAAAUAAAAAAAUGCA